GGGAGCGCGCAGAGUCCCGCUGAAAAAUGGCUGCUGCAUCGGGGUGCAAUGCGCCCGCGAGCAGGCUGUAGGGCCCUUGCCACCCCGUCCCCGCUGCUCCCUUACCAUGAGGCCGAUGAGUCGCCGAAGCCUGGACUGGACUUACUCCCUGUUGCUCCUUGCAAUCGUCUUGCUCUCUUGGGGAUUCGUCAUCUAUGCAUCGACUGUAGCUGCACGACGACAACUACAGAAGGAGUUUCCAGACAAGUUCUUCUGAACGAACUUUUGUAAUUCUUAGCAAACACUUCUUUUCUUCAGAUGGCACCUAUGUAGACUCAAAGUAAAAUUCACAAUACAAAUUUGCGUGUGGCCUUUUGUGAUAAGCGUUAACAUGCCAAUUUUUCAAAAUGAUCGGACAACACCCCCCCCCCCUNNNNNNNNNNNNNNNNNNNNNNNNNNNNNACAGGGUUUCUCUGUAUAGCCCUGGCUGUCCUGGAACUCACUUUGUAGACCAGGCUGACCUUGAACUCAGAAAUCCGCCUGCCUCUGCCUCCCGAGUGCUGGGAGUAAAGGCGUGCGCCCCCACGCCCGGCUCUAUUUUGUAUCAGGUCAUAGCUUUUCAUUCUAGUGCUCAAACACUUCACAUCCUCAUGUCAAAUCAGUAUGUAAACAACACUGUGACUAAAAUGUGUUUUGCAUCCUGUUUAUCAAAAUGGACAGAAAAAAGUAGCUAAUAGCUCUGUUUAGUAUUUGUCUUUUUACUGUUAGUCUCAAAUCAUAGAACCUUUGGACAGUAACACGGACAGUGAUAACACUCUGAGAAUAAGCUUUAUUAAUUACUUUUCCAGGAAACAGAUUCAGUAAAUACAGCACUUUAGGAACAUACUUGUGCUGUUACACAAGUCUGUUAAGUUUUUAAGGACUCUUCAAUGAUGUUGAUCAGGAAAAUCUCUCAUUGGUGGAAUUACUUCUCCAGUCUCCAGAAUUGUAUCACCCUAGGGAAAACAGGAAGUGUUUAAUAGAGAUUUUUCACCAAAUAUACAUUUCAUUGUAAAUAUUCCAACAUUUGCUCAACACAAUAAAUGACU
ensembl:antisense